UACGAAGGGGGCUAGCGUUGUUCGGAUUUACUGGGCGUAAAGCGCACGUAGGCGGAUCGUUAAGUCAGGGGUGAAAUCCUGGAGCUCAACUCCAGAACUGCCUUCGAUACUGGGAGUCUCGAGUUCGGGAGAGGUGAGUGGAACUGCGAGUGUAGAGGUGAAAUUCGUAGAUAUUCGCAAGAACACCAGUGGCGAAGGCGGCUCACUGGCCCGAUACUGACGCUGAGGUGCGAAAGCGUGGGGAGCAAACAGG
rnacentral:rRNA from 1 species